GAUGAAGAACGUAGCGAAAUGCGAUAAGUAAUGUGAAUUGCAGAAUUCAGUGAAUCAUCGAAUCUUUGAACGCAUCUUGCGCUCCUUGGUAUUCUGAGGAGCAUGCCUGUUUGAGUGUCAUGAAAUUCUCAACCUUUUCAGCUUUCUUUGUUGAUCAGGCUUGGAUGUGGGAGUAUGCGGGCUUCUCAGAAGUCGGCUCUCCUGAAAUGCAUUAGCGGGACCUUUGUUGCCUGGCUUUGGUGUGAUAAUUAUCUACGCCAUUGUAGUCAAGCAGCUUAAAAUGAGGUUUCAGCUUCUAACCGUCUCCCCUGAGACAACUUUUUGACAAUUUGACCUCAAAUCAGGUAGGACUACCCGCUGAACUUAAGCAUAUCAAUAAGCGGAGGA
rnacentral:misc_RNA from 1 species